rnacentral:tRNA from 1 species
UCCCUGGUGGCUCACAUGGUAAAGCAUCUACCUGCAAUGCAGGAGACCUGGGUUCGAUUCCUGGGUCGGGAA